GAUGAACGCUAGCGGCAGGCCUAAUACAUGCAAGUCGAACGAGAUUAAGAGUCUUGCUUCUUAUGAAAGUGGCGCACGGUUGCGUAACGCGUAUUCAACCUACCUUAAUCAGGGGGAUAGCCCGAAGAAAUUCGGAUUAAGACCGCAUAAAAACACAGGAUAGCAUUAUUCCAUGUUCAAAUAUUUAUAUGCUUAAUAUGGGCAUGCGUGUCAUUAGCUAGUUGGCGGGGUAACUGCCCACCAAGGCUACGAUGACUAGGGGAUCUGAGAGGAUGACCCCCGACACGGGUACUGGGACACGGACCAAACUCCUACGGGAGGCAGCAGUAAGGAAUAUUGGUCAAUGGAGGGAACUCUGAACCAGCCAGGCCGAGUGCAGGAAGACAGCCCUCUGGGUCGUAAACUGCUUUUAUGCGGGAAAAAACCUUUCUACGUGGAGGAAGCUGAAGGUACCAGAGGAAGAAGGAUCGGCUAACUCCGUG
rnacentral:rRNA from 1 species